UUAUUGCAAAUUUGAAAAGUUCAAACAACGAACUAAUAUUGAUAGUUGAUAGUACUUGCAGAUCCACCAAGUCGCCACUAGGUAUUAAGAAAGUUGUGAAAAAGUUGAAUAAAUAUAAACAAGUAGGGGAACUGUAUUCGCCUCUAGUCGAAUCCUAGGCAUGUCACUUAAGGUCAAAAUAUAUGGAAAUUAUGGUUUGUUUUUUCUUAUUUGCUAGUUCCUAUAAGUGGCUAAUUGGGUUUUUCUGCUUGAUUGCGAUUUAUUUGAGUCCGAUAAGUAAGUAGUUUAGUCAGAUCUCGAUCGGUCAUCUGUUAGGUUUGCAGUUUUAUUAAAGGAAACAUUUUUGCAAUUGUUUGAGAUAGAUUUCUAGUUAUUGAAUGAAUGCAUAUAGGCAGAUCAGAUUUAGCCGAAGUCUGAGAAUAUAUAUAUAUAUAUAUAUUCCUCAUCGUCUCGAAAGUUUCACGCGGUUUAUAUCUACAUUUUAAAAUUUGAAAGUCAUGAAGAGAAUGUGAUAUAAGAAGCUGCAAUUGGUUCAAUGAUUUAAAUUUGCAGGGCUCAUGCUUGAUCUUUUUGCUAAGACGCCGGUGAUAGUUAAAGAAGAGAAAUGAUUUAAAAUGAGUUAAUACUUGCCGGCAGCAAUAGAUGUGAAAUUUUAACAAAAAUUCUACGAAAGCAAAUUUUUAUUGAAAUAUUCGACGCGAACGCCACGCCUUCGAUUAAGUAAAAUUAUAAUUUUCGUAUAAAUAUUUAGCCAAGGCGAUGGGUGUCUGAGAUGCGCACCGAAACCGAUGUAAAGUUUUUUCGCUUGUUUUUCUCUCACCUUCUUUUUCUCUUCUCUUUUUCUCUUUCUAUCUCUCUCUCUUUGUUAUUUGUUUUUUUUCCCCCCAUUUGAUUGUCUAUUAAAAAAUGUAUGCAAGUGUGUGUCAUUUUCCUGUUGAGCGAAAAUAUUUUUUUAAUGCGUUAGAUGAUUUUUAACUUUGAACGAGAUAACAACAACACGCUUUGCAAACGACAAAAGGAUUUUCUUUCAUUUUUCAUUUUAUUGAGUAAAGAAAAGCUUUCGUUUACUGCGGUUUCUCGCUAACGUGUUUGAAUCAACUUCCGUUUUUACGUUAUUACGUGAUUCAGUUUUUUUUUUUUCUGUUUUUCUUUUCUUUUUUUUUUUUUCUUAAACGGAUCUUUAACCAUUGUUUAGUGUUUUAGUGGAAAAAUGCAUUUAAUAAAUCGCAUUUAUUAUUACAAUUAUUUAUGUUUUCGUCAUUUUUCUAAUCGACAUGAAGUUGCUUUAGCUGGCAACACUUGAACACAAGUUUAAGAUCAGCAAGAAUACGUACUUUCUCGAGCAUAAAUUUAUAAAACAAAAACUGACAAGAAUUUGCUCAAGUUGAAGUAUCUAUAAUAAGAGUAAACUCUUGAAGAAUUUCAAAAAAA